rfam:Myotis lucifugus cont2.61424, whole genome shotgun sequence.
GGUGGUUCUUGGGUGAUGCACCCCAGAUUUGGGCUUCCUCCUCUCUGGUCCCAGGUGUGUCACUCAAGAACUGCA